rnacentral:tRNA from 1 species
GGGGCUGUAGUCUAGCUUGGUUAGGACCUAUGCUUUGGGAGCAUAAAACCACGGUUCAAAUCCGUGCAGCCCCA